GAUGAACGCUAGCGAUAGGCCUAACACAUGCAAGUCGAGGGGCAGCACAAGGUAGCUUGCUAUCUGGGUGGCGACCGGCGCACGGGCGCGUAACGCGUAUGCAACUUGCCCUAUACAGGAGGAUAACCCGUCGAAAGACGGACUAAUACUGCGUAUGCUCACAACUUGGCAUCAAGUGGUGAGGAAAGAAAUUCGGUAUAGGAUAGGCAUGCGUCCCAUUAGCUUGUUGGUGAGGUAACGGCUCACCAAGGCAACGAUGGGUAGGGGAACUGAGAGGUUUAUCCCCCACACUGGUACUGAGACACGGACCAGACUCCUACGGGAGGCAGCAGUGAGGAAUAUUGGUCAAUGGGCGCGAGCCUGAACCAGCCAAGUCGCGUGAAGGAUGACUGUCUUAUGGAUUGUAAACUUCUUUUAUACGGGAAUAACAAGAGUCACGUGUGACUCCCUGCAUGUACCGUAUGAAUAAGCAUCGGCUAACUCCGUG
rnacentral:rRNA from 1 species